rnacentral:lncRNA from 9 species
AUGGGAGGAGGCAGGAGGACAGUUGGGCCAUUGAGGCAUCACGAAAGCACGGCUGGCCCCGUGGAGGGUCCCUGCAGAGGUGGUGGCCUUUGGAAAUGGCUCGGUCUCGCAGAGACACUUCUACAGCCCAAUGUCUCAGCCAAUAACUUAGCCCCUGAAGAGCAUGUGGAAUCCAUCAGCCUGCACUGCUUCCCCCCAAGGAGUACAGUGGCCCUCCCUCCGGUGGUAUGUCAAUGGCCAGAGUAUCUUCCCUGGUGGCCACAUGGAGCUGUCCUCAGACCACAGGAUGCUGACUCUGCACAACAUCAGCAGGAACGACACAGGGCACUACCAGUGUGAGAGUAGGAACUCAGCCGCCAGCAGCAUCAGCGACCCCGUCCUUGUCAAAGUCAUUUGUGAGUUGUGGGCCUUGCUAAAGGAUGGGUGGGGAUGCCACACGGAUGUGGCUGAGGGGUGAAGCAGGGGGUUGAAAUCCAGCUGGGUCUGUUGGCCAAGCCGGGGGCGUCUGCCCUAAGGUGGGGGAAUGCGUAUUAUUCGCAUAAAGACCUCCCGCUGUUGAGGAUCCUGUUUAAGUCCAAGCCAGAGAUGCCCUGUCCCACUGUGCGAUGUGUUACUAACUUCCUAGCAGCAGGUCCAACAGGGCAUUUGGGAAAGACUUGCAAACUCCAUAGGGAGGACAUGGAACCCUAGCUCCACCAGCAGUAUCUACACUGGGUGACAGACUCAUUCACAGAUCUAUUUUCAGUAACCAGUAGGUCCUCAGUAAAUAUGUGUUAAAUGGAUGAAUUAAUGGAACAUGUGGCCUUGGGGAAGAUGUUUUAUUCUCUGAGCCCCAGUGUCCCUAUUGUUAAAAUGGGGAUGAUAAAAUCCACCUUCAGGAUCUGGCAGAGGGGCAAGUGAAGUCUAGCAUUUACAGCACCUGAAAAUGUAAGUGGCAUGUUGCAGGAACAUGGUAAAUGACAGCUGUUGUCAUUGGUAAUUAAUGCAUGGUGUUUGAUUGACUCUUAAUUAGUCAAUACAUUGAAAAUAUUUAGAGGCUGAAGGUGCACCAGAGUCCUGUGUUAAACCCCGAGCGUGCAGCAGAAAACAAAGCAGAUCCCUGGUCCUGUCCUCCUGGGGCUUCUAGUCCAGUGGAGGAGACAGGCCUGUCCCCAGAUAGUGGCAGCAAACAGAGUGGGCAGGGCUGGGAUGGGGGGAUCUAAGGGGUUGGAGGAAACCCAGCCGGGGUGCUGGACCAAGCCUGGGAGUCGAGGAAAGCUUCCUGGAAAAGAAGACCUGAAGGAUGAUUAUGGAAGACAUAGUUGAAAAGGUUAGGAUUUGUAACCUUUAUAAUGUUCUGGGUGGAGAGAGCAGCUUGUGCAAAGGUCCAGAGGCAUAAAAAAGCAAGAGAGGUCAUGGAAACGCAGGAACAUGGGAGUAGAGGUGGACAAGUGAAAGGUGAGCCUGGAGACUCAGGCUCACCUCACCCUGGUAUUGACGUCCUUGCUGAUGGUUUGUUCUUUACCAAAGGAGUGAUGUGGUCGGAUUUGCACUGAAAUACUCUCUAGCCUGUCCUGUUGAAGAUGGGUUGGGACAAAUGAAAAGGCCAUUCAGGAGGUUCAGUAACAAGCAGGAGGAAGAAUGGACAGGGGCGAGGAUCACAGGGAGGGGCUGGAGGUGAUGCAUCCUGAGGCACAAGGGAGAGAGGACAGGUGAGAUGGAUGGUGGCACUACCUUCGGAGAUGGGACGCUGGGAAGAGAAGCAGGUUUUGAGGGAAGGCACUUUUAUUUUUAAAAUUUUUUAUUCAAGUAUAGUUGACUUACAGUGUUCCUUCAAUUUCUGCUGUUCAGCAAAGUGACCCAGUCAUACAUAUAUAUACAUUUUUUUUCAUAGUAUCUUCUAUCAUGUUCUGACCCAAGAGACUGGACCUAGUUCCCUGUGCUGUACAGUAGGACCCAUUAUCCAUUGGAAUUGUAAUAGUUUACAUCUACGUUCCCCAAACUCCCUGGGGAAGACACUGUUUCAAAGUAAAAUAUAUUCACAGGAAAUGUGAGGUUCAGUAAGGCCAACGGAUUGGGAGAGAAUGGCCAUUGAAAAGACAAUUUGUUACUGAGAGUUCACAGAAGGAGGGGGACACUCUGCCAUGGGGGCUACGUGGGGGAGCACCAGGGUUGGCCAGGAGGCAGGGGAGAGGGGAUACUGUGGGCAAGAGCCUUUACUGUGGUUUCUGCAGGAAGAAAUGGGGGAGACAGAAUAAGCAGGUGUACCGUUGGCUAGUUAGAAUAAUUUCAGUGGGUUCUGGGGCAUAGAGACUGUCCCUAGGUGUCUGGGACCUGCCUCGGGGUGGUUAAAACAGGUAGGCAGUGGCCUGGAGUGUUGCAGAUGAUUUGGGUAUGGGCUCUGGUUUUGUUGGUUUGCAGUUGAAAAGCAUGAUCAUGAGCAAAUUAUUUAAUAUCUCUAGGAAUUAGCUAACCCUGAGAGGGGCAGUCCCCCCAGGACCCAAGUCCUCACCGAGGAGGCUCUAAGAUGUCACAGCAUCAGAAUACAGAAAGAAAAAGACAUGGUCAAUACAGACACCAAGUUCAGGGUUGGACAGCCAGCAUCAAGCAAAUAGAUAAGUGUGAAGCUUAGAAAGAAGAUUUGACUCGAGAUGUGGGCUGGGACUCGAUAUCCUGGGGAGGUGAUGGAAGCCUUAGGAAUGGGUGAAAUUGUCUUGAGGGGGGAUGUAUAAAAUGAGAAGGAUAGAAAGCCAAAAAGUGUGAACCCUGGGGCCCACCAGACUUAGGGCUCCAGUGGAGGAAGAGGAGCCCACAGAGGGGUUGACAGGGGGUGGCCAGAGGCAGGGAGUGGAGCGUGGUAGCUGAACAGCCAAGGACCAGGCGGCAGAUUCAUUCCACCAACCUGUGUUGAGCCCCUACUGUGUGGCAGGCACUGUACUAGGUGCUGGGGACCCAGCUGUGACCACAACACACAGAAACCCCAGCUCCACGGACCUGGCAUGCUGGUGGGAUGAGGAAGACAAUCAACAAAUGAGCAAAUAAAGGAUUUCCCUGGUGGCUCAGUGGGUUAAGGAUCUGGUGUUGGCACUGCUGUGGUGUGGGUUCCUUUCCCGGCCCAGGAACUUCCACCUGCUGUGGGAAUGCCACCCUCCACCCCCCGAAUUAAGCAAAUAAAAAUACAAUGUUGGCUGGUGAUCACUGCAAGGACAAACCAAAGUGAGAGACCAGAGAGUGGCAGAGGGUGGUCAGAAAAGCCUUUUUGUUUUUUCGGUGUUUUUAGGUCCGCACCUGUGGCAUAUGGAGAUUCCCAGGCUACGGGUUGAAUCAGAGCUACAGCUGCCGGCCUACACCACAGCCACAGCCAUAGCCACAGCCACGCCAGAUCCAAGCUGCCUCUGCAACCUAUACCACAGCUCACCUCAACAGCAGAUUCUGAACCCACUGAGUGAGGCCAGGUAUCAAACCCUCAUCCUCAUGGAUACAAGUCAGGUUCGUUCCCACUGAGCCACGACAGGAACUCCAGAAAAGCCUUUAAAAAUUUUUUUUUUUGCUGUGAUAGAACAUGAUGGGGGAGUUCCUGUUGCGGCACAGCGAAAACAAAUCUGACUAGAAACCAAGAGGUUGCAGGUUGGAUCCCUGGCCUCGCUCAGUGGGUUAAGAAUCCAGCGUUGCUGUGAGCUGUGGUGUAGGUCACAGACACUUCUCAGAUCUGGUGUGGCUGUGGCUGUGGUGUAGGCCGGCAGCUGUAGCUCCGAUUAAACCCCUAGCCUGGGAACCUCCAUUUGCCGUGAAUGUGGCACUAAAAUGCCAAAAAAGCCCACAAAAAAACAAAAACCAAAAACCCAAGGAUGGAAGAUAAUGUGAGAAAGAGAAUGUACAUAUACAUAUAUGUAUGUAUGACUGGGUGACUUUGCCCUACAGCAGCAAUUGACACAACAUGGUAAAUGGACUACACUUUGAUUAAAAAAAUUUCUUUUAAUCUCAUUGGGGUAAAGUUGAUUUAAAACAUUUGCUAGGCUUGAGGUGCACAGCAAAGUGAAUCAGUCAUACGUACAUCUAUUCUUUUUCACACAUAGGUUAUUAGGGAACAAUCAAGCAGACCUCCCUGGGCUGCACAGUAGGUCCCCGGUAGUCACCUACCCUGUGACUAACAGCGCGCACGUGUCAACCCCAUCCUCCUGAUGUAUCUGCUCCCUGCCCCCAGAAAAACCUUUUGUCUUUUUUUUUUUUUUGGUCUUUUUUUGGGGGGGGGGCUGCACCCGUGGCAUAUGGAGGCUCCCCGGCUAGGGGUCGAAUCAGAGCUGUAGCCGCCGGCCUACACCAAAGCCACAGCAAAGUGGGAUUGGAGCCGCGUCUGCGACCUACACCACAGUUCAUGGCAACACCGGAUCCUUAACCCACUGAGCAAGGCCAGGGAUCAAACCCUCAACCUCAUGAUUCCUAGUUGGAUUCGUUUCUGCUGCGCCACGACGGGAACUCCAAGAUAAGCCUUUUGAGGAGAAGAUCUGGAGGAAAUGAGGGGGUGGAUAUUUGCAGGGAGAGGAGACUGCAAAUUCCGGGGCCUGGGGGUGAGGGUGCUUGGCCCGCUUGAGGAGCAGCAAGGGGGUCUGAGUGAAGGAAGCAGAGUGGGGGGGGGUGAAAGAGAGGGGACUGUCCCCAAAGAGGGAAGAGGGGCGGAGCGUGGGGGGCCUGUGGCCACUGGUGGGGGCUUUGGCUUUUAGUCUGCGUGAGCUGGAGACAAGGGUUUUGUGCAGAGGCAGGAUGACAUAUGACUUGGGUCUGGCUGCUUGGUGGAGACUGGGGGGCUACAGGACAAGAGGCAGGCAGGCAGAAGAGGGGUCAAACACCCUUGUCCCCUGGAUGGGGAUGAAAAAGUGUCCGGGUCAGAGGCCCGAGGCUCUGAUGAGGACGGACCUUGCUCUUCCCUCUGGCCUGACCUUGUCGAUUCUCGGCAGAUGGCCCA